rnacentral:rRNA from 1 species
UGUAUUUAAUUUACGUAAAAGAGACCAACAGGGAUUGCCCUAGUAACGGCGAGUGAAGCGGCAACAGCUCAAAUUUGAAAUCUGGCGUCUUCGGCGUCCGAGUUGUAAUUUGCAGAGGGCGCUUUGGCAUUGGCAGCGGUCCAAGUUCCUUGGAACAGGACGUCACAGAGGGUGAGAAUCCCGUACGUGGUCGCUAGCCUUUACCGUGUAAAGCCCCUUCGACGAGUCGAGUUGUUUGGGAAUGCAGCUCUAAAUGGGAGGUAAAUUUCUUCUAAAGCUAAAUACUGGCCAGAGACCGAUAGCGCACAAGUAGAGUGAUCGAAAGAUGAAAAGCACUUUGGAAAGAGAGUUAAAAAGCACGUGAAAUUGUUGAAAGGGAAGCGCUUGCAGCCAGACUUGCCUGUAGUUGCUCAUCCGGGUUUCUACCCGGUGCACUCUUCUAUAGGCAGGCCAGCAUCAGUUUGGGCGGUUGGAUAAAGGUCUCUGUCAUGUACCUCUCUUCGGGGAGAACUUAUAGGGGAGACGACAUGCAACCAGCCUGGACUGAGGUCCGCGCAUCUGCUAGGAUGCUGGCGUAAUGGCUGUAAGCGGCCCGUCUU